rnacentral:piRNA from 1 species
UNGGCCGUAAGAAAAUGUAGGACUCCGGGG